GCCUUUGGUUCAGUGGUAGAAUGCUCGCCUGCCACGCGGACGCUUCCUGGUUCGAUUCCCGGCCGAUGGUUUGGGGCG
rnacentral:tRNA from 1 species